AGGCAAGAUGCUGGCAUUGCUG
rnacentral:miRNA from 1 species